AACGAACGCUGGCGGCAUGCCUAACACAUGCAAGUCGAACGAGACCUUCGGGUCUAGUGGCGCACGGGUGCGUAACGCGUGGGAACCUGCCCUUAGGUUCGGAAUAACUCCCCGAAAGGGGUGCUAAUACCGGAUAAUGUCUUCGGACCAAAGAUUUAUCGCCUUUGGAUGGGCCCGCGUUGGAUUAGCUAGUUGGUAGGGUAAAAGCCUACCAAGGCGACGAUCCAUAGCUGGUCUGAGAGGAUGAUCAGCCACACUGGGACUGAGACACGGCCCAGACUCCUACGGGAGGGGGGAGUGGGGAAUAGUGGAAAGUGGGGGAAGGCCUGAUCCAGCAAUGCCGGGAGAGUGAGGAAGGCCGGGGGGUUGAAAAGCUUUUUUACCGGGGAUGAUAAUGACGGUACCGGGAGAAUAAGCCCCGGCUAACUCCGUG
rnacentral:rRNA from 1 species